AAGCUUAUGAGAUUUUACUAUUCUUAGUUAAAGCAUUUACUUUCAUCUUCAAUCACUAGAGAAUAAUGAUGAAUAUUGACACAGUUGAGCCCAUUAAUACAGAGGAUACAAUAAAGAAUGCAAGUAAACAAAAUUCUAAACUGGUCACAAAAACAUUGAAAAGAUUGACAUACUCAUAGCACAUACAACUGAAGAAUAUACAAUGUAACAUUACAUUUUUAGAAUUUCUGUAUUAUUUCUGUUCCUUUAGGUAGAGUGGAAACAAUUAACAUUUGAAGCUAAGCACAAGGAGCUAUAUUUUGUUGGAUAUAUUUCUUAGGAUUAUUGGUUUAAAUAAUAGAAGUAGUUAUAUAAUACACUUUCAGUCAAACUGUCAAUCAAAGAUAGUGUGUGCUCAUUUAUGACCCUUUGUGCUUCUCUGGCUGACAUUUCUGUAGGUAACCUAAUUUAUGACCAGGGUGGGGGUAGCCCUAUCGACUGUAUCAGUGGGUCAUUCUGGCACCUGUGUGUCGGGAUCUGUGGGGUGUGGGGGAGUAGUCCCCAACAAAUGUGUUUGUUAAUGUUGUGAAACCUGUUUCUCCCAGUAGUAAUCACACACAAUGUAUACCACAAUGUAUUUUUCGUGGUAUAAGAGAAUGUUUGUUUCUGAAAUUACUUUUUGUGGUAUUGUUUUAUUUGUAGCUUAAGGAUGUUUGGGUGAAAUACGUCUGAAAAAGUGUAUCAAAUGGUUAAUAUUGGGUAUACGUUUGUGUGGGGGAUUUCGUUUAUGUAACCACAUUGUUAGAAAAAGCAUGAUGUUUGAAUGUGUACAUAUAUGAGCAGAAUAUUUGUUUGUGAAACAAAUGAAAACAAAUGUUGAUUACGUUUUUUGGGAGACUGGUUUGACUUGGAAUAAAAAUUUAGGAGGUAAAACAUUUUUUUUUUUUAAAAGAAUCUGUUUAAAAGAAUCAUACGUAUUACAUGUCUUCCAAACAUAAACCUUUAGGAAGUAAAAAUGAGUAAAAGAGCUGUUUAAAAGAAUCCGUAAUACAUGUUUUCCAAAAACAUAACCCUUAUGAGAUAAAAACAAACUGUGGGGAAACAGUUUGUAAUCAAAGAACAGUAAUUAAAUCUAGAAAAUGCGAUGACGACGGUUUGUGUUCCUUUGAACAGUGUGGUAACAUGGAAACAUUACAGUAUUUAAUUCAGACAAUGGAGGAUCUGAAUAGAUCUGAGUCUACCACUGAUACGUUGUUGGAAUUAUUAAACAUUGCGAGAUCAGUGGCAGACGAUCAAGCAGAAUCAAUUCCUCUUCAUCAACUUCAUCAUUAGAACAUGCUUCAAAUUCACAACAGGUGGGGAGGGGUUCAGACAGCGAAUCGUAUCAUACGUUUAAUCCUUUGGAGCCAAAUUUUGGGUUAUCCGCAUCCGCUAUUGAUUCUAUUGUAAGAGAGGGUGGCGAUAUUGGUGGUUGUACAGUGGUAGCGAGACUCAGAUUUAAUAGUUUGGAGAUACGGCGUCAUAUAAAUGUGUGUGAUAAACGCCCCAGACCUGGCUGCGUACACAAUAUUUCUGCAUGGUGUCAUGGAUGAAAUACUGUCAUUUUCCAGACUGCUGGCCAGUGAUGGGGGUUUAAUCAACAUAACAUUGAGAGGCCCUAGUCUACCCUCUGAUGUUAACGCUGUCUUGUGUGCGUGUUCACAAACCAGAUUGAGAACAUUAUGCAAAGCAAUUCUAAUGUGCGAGCUGAUGACAGUUUGGAUCUAAAUGUGUCUAUAGCUCAUGGUAAACACGGUGGUGCUUAUCGAAAGAUACGUGAUCUAGCCCAUAACGAAGUGGUUGCCAUAAACAGAAUGAAUCUGUUUUGUCCCAGCAAUAUAUCUAACAAUCUGUGUUUUGCAAUCUGUCUGGCCCAUUUUCUACAUCACAAAUGUCGUGUACUGAUCUAGAACUGAUAGCCGAGUCUCUGCAGGACACUGCGGGGUAUUCAGUACAGCAAAAGAUAGGGUUUAAUGACAUUACAGAGUUUGAACAGUUGUUACACAUUAAAAUAGUGGUGUUACAUAGAACAUGUACUGGUAUGUUGGAACGGUAUACGUCCAGUGACGUGCCCCAUAACAAGACCAUGUUCUUGUAUCUGCACAACGAACAUUAUUUCAUGAUUAAGAACCUAAAAGCGUUCAUAGGUACUCCAUACGUGUGUGACUACUGCCACCAUGGAUUUACUAGCCGUAGAGACCAUAGGUGUAAAUACAUUUGCAAUGUUUGUAAUGCACCUGAUUAUCAUAAAUACGCUGUCAAAACGAGGCAAUGUCACGAUUGUUUGCGAUACUGCAGAUCUGCUGUGAUGUCACAAAACUGUCACUGUCAGAAAUGUAAUAGGCGAUAUCAUGUCAAUGGAGCCACCCCAAAACAACACGUGUGUGCAGCAGAACUUUGUAUCCAUUGUGGCAUGGAAUCGGUUAAUGACUGUGUACACCAGUGUUUUAUACAGCCAAUAAAACUCGAGCCACCUAGCGACAAAUACAUAUACUAUAAUUUUGAGACACGACACGUAGAUGGUAAACACGUUGCAAACUUCAUAUACGUGAUUACGUUUAAAGGGGAAGAGUUCACAGCUGCUGGUACAGACUAUAUAGAUCAACUUUUAGACAAAGUUUAGAUCAAAGUUUAGACAGCCUCAUUAUCAGAAUUUCACAUGUGUUGCACACAUUGCUUCAGGGUUUUACAACUUUAUAUUUUUGGAAUAUUUCACAAAAGCAGGGCUAACACUUCAAAUUAUUAUGCAAGGCUGUCCGAUCAUUUUAAUGCUUAAUGCUUUCCCGGACAAGACAUUCAAGCACCGUUUCAUUGAUAACUACUCAUUCAUCCCUAUGCGUCUGGCUGUGACGUCCACUGCGUUAAAUCUAACCUGUUCUGAGAGGUCAUUUUCCAUACCUAUUCAGUAGAAUAGAAAAUGAAGACUACAUAGGACCAUACCUGGCUAUGAGACAAUGACUACGUUUACAUGGACAGCAGUAAUCUAAUUAUUGACCUUACUCUGAGUACUCUGUGAUUAAGGUGUUUACAUGAGUUACUUUUAGAAUACUCCUGUCAUGUUCCCAUUUUACAUGUUAUAAAACAUAGUUCAAUUAACAGCAUGUGUCAUUACGUCACCACACCACGCUGUCCGACGUUUCCUCCAGAAUUUCAUGUAUUAACAUACAGCUCAUCUUCGUUAUGGUACCGUAUACAGUUUUGGGUGUUUAAUUUUUUAUUUUAUGAAAGCUUCAAGUGCAGUUAAUCAUUUGUCAUGCUGUACGUGCAAAUAGAUGACGGCGGAUACAAAUUCUCCAGCAACAGGCCUCCUCUGUACUUUCAUUCGGCAACAGUGGUAGUGGUCCUGUACCAGCUCGGUAGCUGCGGGGAAUACCGAGUUCCUAGUCUGGAGGAGGCAAAUGCAAUUGCUUACCGAUUCGAAAUGGAACAUCACAUACCACAGAUAAUCGGAUGCGUUGGCGGGACGCACAUUCCCAUACUUCCGCCAAAAGAUGGAUAUAGGGACUUUGUUAUCGUAAAGGAUGGCCCUCAUACGUGCUUCAGGCAGUCGUGGAUGACCAAUAUUGCUUUUGGAGUGUCAAUUGCCAAGUUCCUGGGAGUGCACAUGAUGUCAAUGUACUGUGGCAAUCACAGCUAUGCAAAAGGCCCAUCUACUCCCCAGGGGAGUGAGGGUGAUUCAGGGGAAACCUGUGCAUUUCUUUCUCCUCGGAGAUCCAGCUUAUCCACUCAUGGACUGACUGAUGAAGUGUUACCCACAGUCUCUAGGCCUAACACCUGAACAAGAGUCGUUCAAUGUUCACCUCAGCUCAACAAGAACAACAGUGGAGAUUGCUUUUGAGAGACUGAAGUCUAGGUGGAGGGUGCUCCUGAAAUGCAGUGAUAUUUUCACUUCACUUUCUCACCUUGCAUGAUUACAUGUUGUGCACUGCACAAUUUUUGUGAACGAGAAAAGGAGAAGGUCCCCCAAUGCUGGAUGGAGGAGGCAACAGUUAUGGAGAGAGCCUUACCCCAGCCCCACAGUGCACCACAGAACCAGCACAGAUGCUUAUGUCAUGAGAGAUGCAUUAUCACCAUACAUGGCAGCAACAUUUCCCCUUUGGAGGAGUAUACAUUAGGCACAAGUGGUUAACAUUCAGCAUAUUUGCUUGCUUUGAGGAGCUUGGAAAGUCACACUUCUUAGUAUUUGUUCAACGUUAUUAUCUCCAGUCUGUGAUGUUAACUGCAUUCAAGAAGUUAUUUUAUGAAGAAGUGCUGCACUUUUUAUUUUAAUGUGAACUAGGCAAUUUCUUUAAGUUUCUGUUGGGUUUUGUAUGCCUUAAUUCCAGGAACACUGCACACAGGUUUGAAGUGCAAAAAAGGACACAACAAAAAGGAUAAUAAGAAAGGGACCUCUUCAAGUUCUGCUCACUUAUGGUAAAUAUUACUUUACAAAAAAUAGAGGUUUAAUUAAAAAAAAACAUUUCAACCCCAUCCAGGGUGUACCCUGCCUUGUGCCCCAUGCUCCCUUAGGUUGGCUCCAGGUAUCUCAUGACCCUGUAGGAUGGACAGAAACUGGAUGGAUGAAUUUUUUAAAUUUUUUUAUUUAGUUAUUUUUUUUCAAAAAAUGAAAGGUUUCACUUACUAACAAAUUUAUAUAACAAAAGACAAGGCACAUUCUUUCCUGUAACACAGGCAAAUAUGAGGUAGGCAAACACAUCUAAACUCAAGUCAAUACAGGCAUUCACAAAGUAUUUUACAUAAGCAGGUUUUCUGCUACCUAAUGGCAGGCUGCUCACAGGUGAGUAUAUGAUCGAGCAUAUUCAUUUGCUUCUUCUGACCCAUGUUCAGCAGUGGAUGUGUUUGACACAGUAGAACCAUGCAGGGUAUAGUUAGAUGGCUGUGUGUGAUACCCUUGAAAGUGUGGGGGGGUGCAGUGAAGGAGGUGCAAACAUUGGAUGUGGGUGCUUUGGAAUCCCUCAACAAGUAUUGAUAUAAUGUGCUCGGUGGAACGGACAUUGCUCUCAAUUAAAGCACUAAGGAGUCUCUCCUCCCUUUGCUCGGAUUGCUGGAUUUGGUCUUGAACCCAUUAAUUUUAUUGCCUCAUCAUCUGUAUCAUGAACUGCUGAUGCUGAGAGAUCACAGUGCAUCUCGCAGAUUUCUUUCUUCGAGAGUAACCUAUGUUAUAUAUGUUACCAUUAAAAAAAAAAUAGAAAUGUCAGUUGAAGUGACAGGCUUUGAUAGCAAUAAAAUUGCUAGAAGUCUUAGAAAAUGAAAAAAAUGAUAUUUUUAAGUGUCUCCAUGUUCUACAUUAAUCAUAUUUUAAAUGUUGGGACAAAUAUGUGCAGCAUACAGUAGCUAGCCUAUGUAACAACUACUGAACCUGAUGAGUCAAACCAAUACAUACCUACAAAGAAUUGUCUUAUACAUAUACGUAUACAUACAUACAUACAUACAUACAUAGUGCCUAUUUAAUGGAAAUAGCAUUUACAUCAAAAACAUGUCACCUUGUGUCCUGGGUGGGUCGACAUCUGGUGCUGUGGCUGAAAAGCUUUCCUCUUGAGUACCAGAUGUAUCAGCUGAUUAUGCCUUAUCUUCAUCUGCAUCCUCGUUCAUUUCCUCCUGGUGAGAUAGAGAACUCGCUUCAUCCCCAACGAUACGAAUUCAAUGGUUGUAUGUUUCACGGGCAUGAUUGGCAGGCAUGUAAUCCCAACCAUUUACAUCCGUUAUCAAAAGUGCCCUACGGCUUGCUCGGAAGACAAUUUGAUGACAAAGUCGAAAUAUUAUAAAAAGCGUAUGGUCUGGAUGUUGAGGCAAUGUGGGAGUGUGAUUGGUAUAACGCUAAACAGACCGAUGUCGAUGUAAUGGCCUUUAUGACCACUUACACACAUCCUGAAAGACUGAAACUGUGCAACGCUCUAUUUUGUGGUCAUACUAACUAAUAGAAAUUGUAUCACAAAGCCGACAUUAGUGAAAAAAUAUGAUAUGUUGACUUUACAAGCUUGUAUCCCUUUUGCCAGGCCAAAAAAUGUUACCCCAUAGGACUUCCCCAAAUAAUUUUCAAGGAUUUUGAACCUCUUGAAAAUUAUUAUGGAUUUGUCAAAGCUACAGUGCUGCUACCACAAAAACUGCUUCACCCCAUCCUUCCCUAUAGGACUGGUGGUAAGCUUAUGUUUCCACUCUGUCGUACAUGCACAGAAAAGCAGAAUCAGACAGACCUGUGUGGACACACUGAUGAGGAAAGCAAUAUCAGGCUGUUGGGUCAGCAUCGAACUAUUGAAAGGUGUGGAAAAGGGUUACUUUGUAAUGAAAGUUACCUUUUCCACAACGGUCAGAAACUUUGUUUUGUGACUAUGUUAAAACAUUUUUACAAUACAAACAAGAGGCCAGUGGGUUCCCCGCUCAUGUUGUGACAGAUGCUGACAAGGAAUCCUACGUCUCUGAUUACUUUGAGAAAGAGGGGAUUAAGAUGCAUGUUGAUAAGUUAAGUCAUAACCCAGCACGGCGUUCUAUUAACAAACUUCUGCUGAACUCAUUUCUGGGUCGUUUCUUGAUGCGUGAAAACUUGCCGUGUACAGAACUAAUUUCCGGCCCAGAACAGUUUACACAACAUAUGGUUAUGACGUUAAACACUUUUCAUUCAUGUCAGACUGCGUAGCACUAAUUUAGUGGUGUUAUUGGGAAAGGGGGUCAGACUUGACAUUAACCUCCUUCUUGGUGCGUUUACAACCGCUCAUGCGCGUCUAGAGCUGUAUGAGUUAAUGGACAAACUGGGUGAUAGGUUGUUGCACAGUUCUUGUGAUGUCAUUUUGCUUCUAUUAGAAUCUGCUGGGCCUAUGUAAAUGAUUCGUAGCAGUUAGAAACAGAAAUCCAAUGGCAGUUUUCUGGCUAGGAUUAAGUGUUGUAUGUGCUGUUUUUUAACCUGGUGAUGUCCUAAUGAAAUGCUUUAUUUUUCACUGACAUGAUAAACAUUCUGAAGACUUAAGAAGUUACUAUUUUGAAUGUUUGGUUAGAUGUAGGCUUUGAUUAGAGAUAGAUAUGGGCUAUAAACUGUAUUAAAACCUGUUAUGCCCCUACUUUUUCACAAAGUAGAGCUGAAAACUUUACAAUGUACAUCUGUUCCAUUUGAUUUUUUGUUGUUAUUAUUAAAUGGUAAUUGAUUUUUUCUUUCUUUCUUUCUUUUUUUUUUUUUUAGAACCAUAUGCCACUUUGCUCUUUUAUACUGCAUGGGCAAAAACAAAUAAACCAACAAAUAAAUAAAUAAAAAAAACAUCUGGUGGAUAAAGUAGAUAGGCUUAAUCACCAUUCCCUGAGCCAGAUUACUACUGUAGUUUCACAAUCACUUCUAGAGUUAGUCAAAUGCUGCUUCUUUUGACACUGAUUUGCAAGCUUAGGGGGCUUUGUUUGGAAACCCAGUUCUGGAAUGUGUUUAAUUGCUUUUUUAUUUCCACAAAGUGAAACUGCUUUAGACAAACACAAGGUUCUUAAUUUACUGCCAUUGUUACCCAACGAGACUGGGACAGGAAGUAAGUGCAGGAUCAAAGUCUUCAUUAUCCACUAAAGUCAAUAUACACGAUACAGGAAAUGAGGUCAAAACAUAAACUAGAAUUGAGGCAUGAAACAAGAAACUAGAACUUGACUUUGAAACAAUACUGCGUAGCACCGGGGCAGGGUUAGAAAUGGGUAAGAUGGGUAAUGGUGUCAUGCGGUGUGUUUUCCAUGCACAACAAGGGCUGUGCAUGGAAAACACACCGCAUGACACCAUUACCCAUCUAACCCAUUUCUAACACUGCCCCGGCGGGAAUCAAACCCCAGACCCUGGAGGUGCGAGGCACACAUGCUAACCACUAAGCCACCAUGCGCCCGACGCCAUCAACCCAACACAGUAACUAGACCUGAGGCGCGAAACAUGAAACCAAACAUGUAACCUGCAUCACGUUUUUGUUUAAUGAGCACUCGUGUAUAUAUAGUGCCACUGUUUGCACUGAUUCUUUUUCUCACAUAAUUGUCUUAGACUACCGUGUUCCAUGUUACCGUGUUUUGGUCUUGUAGUUUAUUGUGUAGUCUGUACCACAGUGUUUUGCAUCAGUCUAAAUAUCCUUUGUGUUUUGGUUGGUUUAUAUAAUAAAACGUUGAAAAUCUGAGAUUGCUUCCGCACACAUCUUUGAGACGUGACAGAAUGUGAGACCUACAACAGAAGCAGCGGAUCAUCAUUAAGUACCUGGGCUUUGAUCUUCCACCUAUGUUCAUGGAGAACUGUGCCGCGCCACGACAACAGGAGGUGGAGUGCCAAGCUGCGCCGCAUACGCAGCAGAUCUCCAUGAAGUAUCUGGGCUUCACUCUAACACCUGUGUUCGCAGAGGACUACGCCACGCCAUGCCAACAGGAGGAGGAGUCCAGGUACAAGUGGGAGUCUGUAGUCGGGGCUAGUGCCAUCUCCCACCCUCCCUCCCCUAUAAUGGAUCCAGGUCAGCAAACGGAGUCAGCGGAGAAUGAAAGUCAGCCUCCCUGCUCAUCUGAGGAUGCCACUCUGCUUUUUGGGUCAGCUGAGGAUGCCUCUCAGUCACCCAGGCUGGCUGAAGACGUUGCUUCCCCUCUGUUCGCCAAUUCCGUGUACAACGCCUCUGUGCUUGCCUGCUCAGCUGAGGACAUCACUCUGCCUUCCUGCUCGGCUGAGGACGUCGCUCUGCCUUCCUGCUCGGCUGAGGACACCGCUCAGCCUUUCUGUUUGGCUGAGGACGUUGCUCUGUCUUUCUGUUCAGCUGAGGACGUCGCUCUGCCUUCCUGCUCGGCUGAGGACGCCGUUCUGCCUACCUGCUCAGCUGAGGACUUCGCUCUUCCUUCCUGCUCGGCUGAGGUCAUCACUCUGCCAUCCUGCUUUGCUGAGGAGGUGGCUCUGCCUCCAUGUUCCACUGAAGACGCCGUUCCUCUUCUUUGCUGCGCGCCGUAUGUCACUCCCCCUUCCUGCUCCACAGAGGACACUGUUUCCCCCUCGUGCUCCACGGAGAGCAUCGUUCCUCCCUCGGGCCUCGUGGAUAACCUCGCUCCCCUCUCCUGUCCUGCGGAGGAAGUUGUCCUGCUGUCCUACCCUGCAGACGUUGCUCUGAGCUCCAGCCCCACUGAAGACGUCGCUCUGAGCUCCAGCCCUGCUGAGGACGUUGCUCUGCUUACCUGUGACACUGAGGAAGGUGCGUUGCAUUCUUGCUCCACUGAGGAUGCCGCUCAGUCUCCUAGUUUUGCUGGGGACAUUUUGCCCAGGGGGCCAGGACUACCAGAUGGAGGGAGUGCAUUUUUGGGCGCUCCGAGUGAAGUGCCCUUGGGGGAGGGGGGUUCUGUCAUAUUUCAAGGAAGUAACUCUGGACUUCAUUUCCCAGCAGCCACUGCACCAUAUUACUGUCACAUGACCACCUGCACCUGUAUCAAGUUUUUGUUUAACGAGCACUCAUAUAUAUAUAUAGCCACUGUUUGCACUGCUUCUCUGUUUCAUGUAAUUGUCUUAGACUACCGUGUUCCAUGUUACUGUGUUUUGGUCUUGUUAGUUUAUUGUGUAGUCUACCACAGUGUUUUGCAUCAGUCUAAGUAUCCUUUGUGUUUUGGUUGGUUUAUAUAAUAAAACGUUGAAAAUCUGCGAUUGCUUCCACACCCAUCUUUGAGAUGUGACAGCCAUAGAGUGAAGCUGCUUUAGACAAACACAAAGCACUUAAGGUACACAUUUUGAAUACCACCUGUUAAAAAGUGUUUUAUAGUUUUAGAUUAUGCUUGCUGUGCAGAGGUAUGGAUUGACACAGAAAAGAAUUAGGCGUACUGUUGAGUAAGACACAGAAUUCUUCUAACUCAAUACACACUUAUAACUUGAUCAACA
ensembl:lncRNA